AUUGAACGCUGGCGGCAGGCCUAACACAUGCAAGUCGAACGAGUGGCGGACGGGUGAGUAAUGUCUGGGAAACUGCCCGAUGUAGGGGGAUAACUACUGGAAACGGUAGCUAAUACCGCAUCCCAUCCUAUGUGCCCAGCUGGGAUUAGCUAGUGGGUGGGGUAACGGCUCACCUAGGAGACGAUCCCUAGCUGGUCUGAGAGGAUGCACAGCCACACUGGAACUGAGACACGGUCCAGACUCCUACGGGAGGCAGCAGUGGGGAAUAUUGCACAAUGGGCGAAAGCCUGAUGCAGCCAUGCCGCGGGUAUGAAGAAGGCCUUCGGGUUGUAAAGUACUUUCAGCGGGGAGGCGUUACCCGCAGAAGAAGCACCGGCUAACUCCGUGCCAGCAGCCGCGGUAAUUC
rnacentral:rRNA from 1 species